CCCAUCCCCAGUGGAUCCCAUCCAGGGGGAGGCCUGGGGGAGGGUUAUUCCCUAAACGUGGGAACACCUGGAAGUUGGGUUUUGUUCUGUGACAUAUAAGUCGAUGCAUAUCUUAGAUUUUGUUUUUGUUUUUGUUUUUUUUUUUUCCCCAGAACCUCUCUAUGAAGUUGCUUUGUGAGUGUACUUUUCUACUUGGGACAUUAAGACUGAGGGCACUGUACUGGUAUCUGCUCCUAAAAACCUCUUUGCUCAUUGAAAAGCAAAGAUUUAUUUGCCUUGAAGGAGGAUGAUCUGAACACCUUGACAGUUUAGUUAGAAACAUGAGGACUUAACACGUGGUCACAGGAGAUAGCCAGACUGUUCUUUAAUGUGGUAGAAAAACAGAAGGAUACUCUGGGUGCUUUGCUCUGCCUGUCACAAGCCAUGGGAAACCUGUUCUCUGUGGGAAAUUCUCGCCAUUAUUUAGCAAAGGAAAGGACAGAAAUUCUCAGCUCUUCCUUUAAGUUCUUCCUAUUCUUGUCUUUCUCUAUAAGAAAUACGUCUUAGUGCUUGGCCAAGUAUUACUUUGCAGAGUUCCUAUUAGUGUAUGAUUAUACAAACACAUUUUCUGCCCUGUCCUCAUCUCAGUCUUCAACACCUUCAUACUGCUUUCCUACUCAGAUUCACACUGUAGCCAUCUGAUUUUUCCCAAUUAUUCCUGAUAUUUACUUUCCAAAGGCUAGACUGUCUGCUGGUAGCUUUAGAGUAUAACAUGAUAAUGCCAAAAGAGUUUCUAGUACCAGUAUUAACCAGUGCUUCUUUUUGUGUAAUUCUUUUAACAUCACUUUCUGGUGUCUUUCAGAGCCCUUCAGGCCCUCACUAGAAUAAUAUGAAUUUUGCUGUUCCACAGAUUAUGUGGUAGAUCUUGUCUCUGACUAAGAUGUAAGUGAAGUGCCAUCUGCUUUUGUCAUCCCUCUCACUCUUGUCUCUCUUGUCCCAGCCGCAGCACUGCAGACGUCGCCCUGCUGCACACUGAGGUGGAAGUCCCUGCUAAGAGCAUAUACGAGGAAAAGUGCUCUAAGAUUGAAAAGACCACAGUGAAAGACAGGAAAAGUCCUGAGUAUGAGAACCUUGUGACUGCAAUGGAAUCACAAUAUGAAACAGAAGGAAUUCAGUAGAGUACCAGCUUUUCCACGUAAGCAGCCAUGCAGGGCUGCAGCACUAAUCUGCUCUGAUGAGGUCUGGACUCCUUCCUCAGAAGAUAUGAAGCCUGGGACAAGCUACAGAGGAAGAAGGCAAUAGGGGUUAAGAAAGGGGGAGCAGAUGCCUCAGAUAGACCAGCCCCCAUGUACUCCAUGUUGUCAAUGCCUCUAGCUAGGGCAGCAAAAGGACUUUGGCCACAAGUAGAAGAACAGUGGAAACAUUAGAAGCCUGUCUCCAGUGCUGAGGUGCUUUUCCCUGGGCAACAAGUGCAUGAUUAUUUCUUUUCUUCACUUUUGGUGUGUUUUCUAUGUUUCUAGUAAAACCUGUUGGCAACAGAACAUUUUUCUUCUGAAA